UUAAUUACUUCAUCUCAUUUAUCCAUGAACAAAUAUGCUGGGCAUUCUGUAUGGUUCACUUAUGGAAAAUCCACAACUUACUAUAUAUAUUGUCACUUAUAUAUAAAUAAGUUGCUACCAACAAGCGAAGUGAAAUGGAAGGCACGCAACAAAUCAAAUCACUAUGUAUAUAAAUAAUUUAUUGCAUCAAAGUGGUAAUAAAUAAAAUCAAACUACACGGUCCCAAUCUAUUACAACGUAAAAAAUCCAGAAAAGCACAUCUAAGGAAGGGACAAAGCACAAAUAAAGCAUCGUUCCUCAAAAGCAAGCGUCGCAGAGACAACAGCAACACAAGGCAGCACAACUGCAAGAUGAAAGAGCCAAGAAUUAGAACAUUCAAAACAGAAUGUGUGUUUUAGAUAGCUAGUUUUUGCGGUUAUGAUUUGAAAAAAUAUAUUUUAAAAAACUAUAAAUUAUAAUUUUUUUAUAAUCAAAGUUUUAAUCGAGAGUUUUUAGCGGGAUUAAUGUAAUUCAAGAAAUGAAUAUACUAGAGAAAGAUCAAGACAAGCGGGCUUACCAUCCCUUCCAGAAGCCAUCACCCCUGGAUUUAGUCUUCACAGGAAUAGGAUUUUGCUGGUCGGAUUGACCAUCCAUGGUUGGAUAGCCAGCUGGUGGUGGGCCUGAAUAUGCACUAGGAUAAGUUGAUGUUGGUGGGGGAGGAUAUGCCACUGCAAGAUUUCAAAGCCACCUAAAUUAGCAUACGCAGACUCCAACAGAGAAAACAAAUAAAUAAAUUACGUAAAGCUCUUUGACUCUACAGACAAUCUUGUUGAUCACUACAAAUUAUGACAAGGGGAGAGUUAACAGAUACCAAAUUUGUGAUUAAUUACUCAAUUACCAAGCUUGCAUGAUGUUAAUUCCGACUCAAAGAACAAGGGUUAAUUUCUUAGUGAAGCCACUGAUGAAAGCAAUUAGAUGUUGAUCUUGACUGUUUUAUGAAAAAACCAAAGAAAAAAACAGAUUUGAAUAGAUUAGGAAUAUGUGCAGAGCUUUUGAUUUUUGAAAAGGGAAACUUUGCACCCAGCACUUAAUUCUUUGGACACUAACCUCAGCAACUAAUCCCAUCUCAACAAUACAACAAAGUGUUUCAAGAUCAGAUCAAACAGUUCAUGUCCAAAUUAAAGACCUUAACCAGGAAAAAGAUGAAGGAUUACCUGUAGCUUGAUUCUGACUCAUGGUUGAAGAAGCGAGUUGAGAAGCACGAACAAAUGAGAGCUAUGGAAGAAUGGAGAUAAGGACGAGAGAAGUUCGGUUGUGGUAGUUGAUGAAGGCGGAGAAGAUGCUAUGCUAAAAUAAAUUAUUGCUAUCUUUAUAUAGAGAUGGAGGGAGGCGUUUGCUUGCCAGGGGUGACUAGCGAGGGCGGUCGCAAACGCGUUAGGAAGCGAUGAGUGGGUGUUUGGUUCUACUGCUGCGGCUGUGGUUAGAAUUAAAAAUUAUUUUAAAG
rnacentral:lncRNA from 1 species